rnacentral:lncRNA from 1 species
CACUGCAGUAACCCAGCAUUGGCUUUACAAAGGGGUGGAUGAGUCACUAUGACUCUGUAUUUAAUGCAGAAUAAUAGUUACAGAAGAGAUGGGCAUACAGUGGAAUUCGCCCAGUUAAACUUUUGAGAAGAAAAAAUAUUUUCAAUUAUCACAAAGACUGCUUUCAGAUGAAGCCUUUUAAAUAUCCUCCAUAACCCAUCUUCAAAUGCACAGGAGCUGGAAACCUGGAUUGUGAUUUGUUGUCUUUCUCCUUCUAAAGGCCCAAACUGUACUGCUUUGGGUGCUGUUUUGUCACACGGAGAAGGACUUCCAGCUCUGCAAUCUGCACUGAGAUACAUCUAUGAAUGAAGACCAAAAUUGCCACCAUACCUCAUUAUAACUCAAUUGCACUAUUGCUCCUGAGGACGGGGAGCAGGUUUGAAUAAAAUAAGAACAAACUUAUUUUUCUCUGUAGCU